GGGAUUGUGGCUCAGUGGUAGAGUGCUUGCCUUGCACGCGUGAAGCUCUGGGUUCAAUCCUA
rnacentral:tRNA from 1 species